rnacentral:rRNA from 1 species
CCUACGGGAGGCAGCAGUGGGGGAUAUUGCACAAUGGGGGGAACCCUGAUGCAGCGACGCCGCGUGGGUGAAGAAGCGCCUCGGCGCGUAAAGCCCUUUCAGCAGGGAAGAAAAUGACGGUACCUGAAGAAGAAGCCCAGGCCAACUACGUGCCAGCAGCCGCGGUAAUACGUAGGGUGCAAGCGUUAUCCGGAUUGACGGGGUGUAAGGGGGGCGCAGACGGCGAUGCAAGCCAGGAGUGAAAGCCCGGGGCCCAACCCCGGGACUGCUCUUGGAACUGUGUGGCUGGAGUGCAGGAGGGGCAGGCGGAAUUCCUGGUGUAGCGGUGAAAUGCGUAGAUAUCAGGAGGAACACCGGUGGCGAAGGCGGCCUGCUGGACUGCAACUGACGUUGAGGCCCGAAAGUGUGGGGAGCAAACAGGAUUAGAUACCCUGGUAGUC